GAUGCAGCUUUUGGGAUCUGCCAAUUGCAGUAAGUAAACUUUGACCCAUGCCCUGUAAGCCUAGACACUGAGAUUUGUCACAGGUGUCCUCGAUGGGGUGAGACCUUGUUCCUGUCUCCCCAGAAGAGUGAACACAACACUGGCUGCUUUGCUCUUUGCUGGUUGUAUGGUUGCCUUCUCAUCUCUUCAUACCGCUUUUGAGACACAGCAAGAUUGUUGCACAUAUGAGAGAUCACAGACUGUGGCAGUAUACAUAAGGCCUGCACAGGUUCAAGCAUGAUGGAGUCCUAACACUGAGAGGGAGAAGCAGACACGGGGUCCUACUCCUGACCAAGAAGCUAUCUGCAAUUGAUACCCACUAGCAAGGAGAACAUCACUUUUCUUCAGUGGACUCUGAGUGUAUCAAGUACUACACUCCAAGGUAUUCUCCAUGCCCAAGACUGGUCAGCCAACACAAAACUCAUGCAAUGGUUUUUUUUGUGGACUUUGCUGGUUUCAUUUUGCUUUGUUGUGGCAAUGGUCUUUUGCUUGUUUGUUUUGAUUAUCAUUUGUGUAUGUGUGUUUUUUUAAAGACAGGAGAAAAUAGAACAUAAAGUUAGAUGGUUAGGGAGGCAGAGGAUCAGGGAAGAAUUCAGAGAGGGGAAAAACCUGAUCAAAAUAUGUAGCAUAAAUUUUUCCAAUAAAAUAAUAAAAUCAGAUUAUCACUAUUUUUAAAAAAAAAAGAAUAUAGGCCACUAGAGAAUAUCUCUUGGAGGUUAUAGCUUGAUCACUCUUCUGGAUUUUUAUGUUUGAUUCCUGGUCAACUUCAUGCAACAAGAAGCUGUAACUGCUCCUGCCCCACAGAGUGAACCUUUGGCCAUGCCUUCUCCACCAGGAUAAACUCUGAGCCCUUGUUACAUGAGCCAAAACAAAAUCUCCCUCCCAUUGCUUCUGUCGGGUGUUGUGCCCCAGAGCUGUGACUCGGAUGCCCAGCCAUGUGCACUCUGCACUUAAGGAGGGUUGAAGUCUGGCUUCCGUAUCAGACAGAGUUGCUGCUUAAGUCAGACAAGAACAGAAACUGCUGUCUAUAAAAGUCGCAUCCGUAGCUCACUUCCAUGCCCUGGGCUGGCCUGUGAGGCUGGGUUAAGUUGGUAUUUCUAUUUCUAGAUUGGGUAUGGUAAUACCCCACCCUCUGUAGCAAUUCACAUAGAGGACACCAGGGUACGACCUAGAGCCAGAUGUUGGAGAUGACUCAGCCAGGUUGGGAUUCUCUCUUUUAGUAAUAUAAUGUUCAGUCUAUAGGGGGUAAUAAAUAUGCAAUUUUAAGUCUGCAAAAUUUUGAGUGGAUUUAGUGAGUCAGAAUCAUUGAAGUACAGUUGAUACAUACUUAAACUGCACAUAUUUAAAGUGACAAGGAUUUAUGUAGAACUAUUAUCACAAUCAAGAUGUGAAACUGUAUCCAGCACCUCCAAAAGCACCCAGGGCCUUUUGUAAUCUCUCACCCCAGCCUCACCAUUCCUUGCUCCCCCAGACAAACCAUGGUCUGCAUCGUAUGGUUAUACAAUGAUCUAUAUUCUAUAUUUUUGUAUGAAUAGAGUAAUAAAAUGUGCACUCUAUCAUCUUACUCUUCAUUAGUAGUUCUAGAGAGUUGUAGUCAUGCUAUCUGAUAUGUCAGUUACCCUUCUUUCCUAAGUAGUAUUUCGUUGGGUAAAUAUGAAUAUCCCAUGGUCAGCUCACCCAUUGUACAAUAUUGUUGCUGUCAAUUUUAAGUCAUUUCAGGUAAAGCUUGAACACCUAUGUGCAUUUCUUUGUAUAAACAUAGACACCUCCUGUGGGGUGCAUAUCUAAGAACAGAAUGUCUGUAUAUAGUGUAUAUGUGUUUAUAAGAAAGAACCAAAUUGUCUCACAAAUAGGUGGACUAUUUUACAUCCUCAUAGGCAAUGUGUGAAUUCUAACCCUUUUGACAAUUGAUAUAGAUGGUGUUUUAAUUACAACCAUUCUAAUAACUACGUGAUUGCGUUUCAUUUUACUUUUAAUUAGUGAUAUUUGGCAUAUUUUGUGUUUUUUUUUGUUUGAGGCUUUUGUUUGCUUAUUUGGUUGGUUUUACCAUUAUUCUCUCUUGGUAAACCUUAGAUAAGGGGGUUGGUUAGUUACUGUUUCUAUUUUAUUGCAAUGCUUCCUUGCUCGUUGUUUGGUCUUGAGAGUUGGUCAAUAUCACCUGGGUAUGAGUAAGCUCUUGUCACACAUGUGUUGACUACCUAUGCUUUACAAAAGUACUGCGCGCUAUCUUGGAUUCAUCUUUUUCAUUCUGUUAGUGAUGCCUUCUAGAGUUGAAUAACACUUUCAAUUUAUUUCUUUAUGGAUUAUACUUUAGAUCUUAUAUUUAAGGAUGUGACUACUUCUCAAACCAAAGUAUUUUCUCUGAAAGUUUUGUAAUUUUGGAUUUCACAUUAUGAUUCACUUUGGCUUGUUAUGUGUGGUACAAAGCAGAGCUCUCCGUUCUCCAGGCACUCAGAGUUCCAAUUUUUUCAGAACCAUUUGUUAGAAAAGCUCUUCCCUUGCCUGAGGUUUUCCCUGUCAUGUUUCCCAAAGAUCAGUUCUCCAUAUUUGAGCGAGUUCUUUUCUGACCACUUAAUUCUGUUAUGAUGACCAGUUCAUCUAUAUUUAGACAAAUGUUCUAUCUUUGUUUCUGUAGGUUUAUAAAAAUCCUUAAAAUAUAAAGUCAUAUUGGCCCUGAUAUUUCCUUCCUUUUGAGGGGUUAUUUUAGUCAUGGUCCAUCGCUUCCAUUUCUGUCUGAAUUGUGCAAUCAAAUUGUCAAUUUCUAAAAUACAAUACAAUAAAAUAAAUUCUUGGAUUCUGACUGGGAUUUCACUAAAUCAAACUUCAAAGGAUUGGUUUUUCAUCUUCCAGCCUCCUGACAACGUUCUCUUUAAUCAUUCUCGAAACUGUUUGUUGUUUUUGUAGACAGCCUAUUCAUACAUUUUGUAGUUCCUGCUUCUAAGUGUAACAGACGCACGCCCAGGAGCUGUCUGUGUUGCACUGGUAGGCCCAGUCCUUUUGCUGGGCUUCCCUCUCCCUGGAUCGGAACUGAGGAACACAGGCUCAUCUCCUAGAGCCUUCCUCAAUGAUGGUGGCAAUUUCUUCCACCAAACUGAUCUCACCCGCAGCACUCUGGUUCUCUCAGAAAUUUAUUAUCACCUCUGUAAGGUCACAGCCUGGGGACACUGUUGAUUCUCUUUUUGAUUCUCUUUCUCACUCUCUGCCAAGGCAACUGGGAGUCAGUGACCAUUGAUUGACUAUUCCCAGGACAGGGCCUGCCAACCAGAGAGUGCAAUUCUUGUAGGAUUUUCAUGUAUCCUAUGAAAACAUGGCCAGUCUAUGCCUCGUUAUGUUACAUUUCUCACUAGUACACUUAAAGUAGGUGUAUACGGAGCGGGAUCAAGAGGACCAGGCAGAACCUAACAGCGAAUAUCCUGAGAAUGCUUUUUCCAGUCUCCCAGGCAUCCAACUUCUACUGUGGUAGAUCCAUUGUGGGUGGCUUUCAUCUUCUACAUUGACUGCUACUCAUGACUUUUAAAAGAAUCUGUUUAGGCAAUGGUUCAGGAUGCAGGGGUGGAGGUGGGGGUGGGGUGUGAUCCCUAGGAUACACCAGAGUCCUUGGAUGAGGGAUGAUCCAGGAAGUCUAUGAGGGUGACUCUAGCUGAGACUCCUAGCAGUGGGAGAUAUGGAAACUGAAGUGGACACCUCCUGUAGCCAGACAGGACUCCUAGUGGAGGAAUAAGGACACUAACCACCCCCCCAAAACCUUCAACCCAAAAUUUGUCCUGCCUACAAGUAGUGCAGAGACAAAGAUAGAGCAGAGACUGAGGGAAUGACCAAAUAAUGACUGGCCCAACUUGAG
rnacentral:lncRNA from 1 species